GAUGAACGCUGGCGGCGUGCCUAACACAUGCAAGUCGAACGGAGAAUCAGCAAUGAUUCUUAGUGGCGAACGGGUGAGUAACGCGUAGACAACCUGCCUUCUAGAUGGGGACAACACUGCGAAAGUGGUGCUAAUACCGAAUGUUGUAUUAAGCCUGCAUGGGCUUGAUACUAAAGGUGGCCUCAAUUUAUAAGCUACCACUAGAAGAUGGGUCUGGGUCUGAUUAGCUAGUUGGUGAGGUAAUAGCUCACCAAGGCGAUGAUCAGUAGCCGGUCUGAGAGGAUGAACGGCCACACUGGGACUGAGACACGGCCCAGACUCCUACGGGAGGCAGCAGUGGGGAAUCUUCCGCAAUGGACGAAAGUCUGACGGAGCAACGCCGCGUGAGUGAAGAAGGUUUUCGGAUCGUAAAGCUCUGUCUUUGAGGACGAAUGUGUCUAAUGUAAAUAAUGUUAGAUAAUGACGGUACUCGAGGAGGAAGCCACGGCUAACUACGUGCCAGCCGCCGCCGUAA
rnacentral:rRNA from 1 species